rnacentral:rRNA from 1 species
ACGCUCGACACCUACGGGAGGCAGCAGUAGGGAAUCUUCCACAAUGGGCGCAAGCCUGAUGGAGCAACACCGCGUGAGUGAAGAAGGGUUUCGGCUCGUAAAGCUCUGUUGUUGGAGAAGAACGUGCGUGAGAGUAACUGUUCACGCAGUGACGGUAUCCAACCAGAAAGUCACGGCUAACUACGUGCCAACAGCCGCGGUAAUCUGAGCGGGCUGGCAAGGC